rnacentral:rRNA from 1 species
AGCAGCCGCGGUAAUUCCAGCUCCAAUAGCGUAUAUUAAAGUUGUUGCAGUUAAAAAGCUCGUAGUUGAAUUUCGGGGUUCUACCGUUGGUCGGGCUUUGUCUGUACUGGCGUGUAGAAUUUCUACCUUCUGGGGAACCAUCAUGUUAUUAAUUUAACGUGGUGGGAAACCAGGACCUUUACCUUGAAAAAAUUAGAGUAUUCAAAGCAGGCUUAUGUCUGAAUACAUUAGCAUGGAAUAAUAGAAUAGGACGGUGGUCCUGUUUUGUUGGUUUCUGAAUCACCGUAAUGAUUAAUAGGGAUAGUUGGGGGCAUUAGUAUUCAAUUGUCAGAGGUGAAAUUCUUGGAUUUAU